UUGGGUUCUUGAGUUUGGGUAAAAAUAAGUUUAGCAUAAUUAGUGUUGUUAAAAUUGUUUAAAAUGUAUUUUAAUAGUAAGUUUAAGAGAUAAUUAUUUUGUUCAAAACCUGUACGAAUAAGACGUGCAUGAAUGUGUUUAAGGUGAUUGAAUGAUUUAAAGCCAUGAAAUAAAGCUGCUUUUAGCUCUAACAGAGCUUUCGGAGCAGCUAAGGAUGUUGGGUUCAUGGCU
rnacentral:lncRNA from 1 species